rnacentral:rRNA from 1 species
UACGUAGGGGGGCAAGCGUUGUCCGGAUUUAUUGGGCGUAAAGAGCGUGUAGGCGGCCAGACAGGUCCGCUGUGAAAACUCGAGGCUCAACCUCGAGAUGUCGGUGGAAACCGUCUGGCUAGAGUCCGGAAGAGGAGAGUGGAAUUCCCGGUGUAGCGGUGAAAAUGCGCAGAUAUCGGGAAGAACACCCCGUGGCGAAGGCGGCUCUCUGGGACGGUACUGACGCUGAGACGCG